CUCAACGGACCAAUCAUUGAGCCCUGUUGAGCAGAGGUCCCGCUCAACGGACCAAUCAGUGUGCCCUGUUGAGCAGCAAUGAGAAGCCGCUGCCGUUCGGUUUUCGGCAUCAAAACAGCGGUCUUCCUCUAAAAUAAAACUUCUUGUCCGUCGGAUAAAAGUGAACGAACGAGCGGGAUACCUUUGAUGGUAGCAUUUCCUCUUUUCGUAUCUCUUUCUGAAGAUUUAAUUCAUUUUAGCUUGCUAGUUUUAAUGAAAAGCGAAAAUUGCGCAUUUAUUUAUCACGUAGCUAUCGGUCAUCAAAACAUGGAUUCCUCCUUUGAAUGUGAGUACUGUAAGAGCCGCUUCUCCACGAAGUCCAAUCUCACGCGCCACGUAAAGACACACACCACACCGCCGUCUUUUCGCUGUGAUUCCUGUGAGAAGACUUUCACCCAGAAGCAGCAUCUGCAGGGUCACCUGAUGCUGCAUCUCUACCCCGUGAUCCCACUGUACAAACCCGACGAAGCACAGCUGUCCUGCACAAGUCUUGCUCGACAGGCUGUCAAAGAAUCCAAGACAGUAGAUCCUGUUCGGUUGAACAGGAUCACUGCAGAGGAAGCUGCUAAAAAAAUAAGGAGGAGAAUUGUGGCUCACACAAUUAGUCAUUACAUUUGGAAAGUACCCGGGACAAACCUUCAAGUGGCUUCUUAAAAAUGACAUUAGAUGGGUAGUUUGGCUUUUGGCUGAAUUCAUAUUGAAGGGAGAAACAAAUGAAGCUUUGAAGUGGCAGAAAGAAAGGCUGCUGGAGCCGGUGAAGAAGUUUCCUUCAAUUACAGUUCACCUGGACAGGAGAGUACAGUUAAGCAUCUCUUAACACAGAACACAAGGCAUGUGGUUUGUUUUAAAUGUGAUGCUCGUGUAGGAUGUUCGUGUGUAAUCCAUGCAUGAACAAUAUGGAAUAUCCAUCCCCAGAAACACAAAGAAAAACAGGAGGAAAAACCUGGUGCUGCUGCUGACCGUCAAGACAAUCCCGGCUACAUCCAAGAUGCUGAGCUUCUUACGCUAGCAGAUAUUUGCGGUUUUAUUACUACAUGUUACUGAUAUGAGCGCACUACUUGUGUUAUUGUUUUCCACGUGUGAUCUGUUCUCAGAGGGCAUCUUGGCCUCAUCUGACGUUGCCGUUUCCACCCGUUUGACCACUGUCGGAAGGAUUGUUUCCUGUGAUGCAGAGGAGAAAGCUGCACAUCUUUCAGAGGCAGGCAAGCAGGAGGAGGAGGAGGAGGAGGAGGAAGAGGAGGAAACGUCAAGGUUUCAAUGCCCGACUGAGGCUGCUGUCAUCCUUGAAGGCUGGCAGAAAACUUGGGAGCAGCCGUCGUCAGCGAACUACUAGGGCAUUCCACCACAAGACGUCCGGUGGCUGAAGGAAAAUGAGGAUUAUGGAUUGUAUAAAGCAACCGCAGCACAUAAAACCAAAAGUGGAGAAAUCGUCAGGCGAAAAAUGCUGAAGGACAAGAUGGAAUUCAACCCUCCUCCUGUUCUGACCUAUUUGGGUGGCUCAAUUCCAAAUAUGUUUUCCUUUUUCACUGCACCUGUCUUCUUUUGGCGACCUGUUGGCAUUCUGCAUGCAAAAAUCUGGUGCCCAAACACCAACUGCCCCGCCCUCCAAACACCUUUCUUAUCAGGAAAGGUUACUCGUCUUCUGCACGACAGGUUUGUGGCCUCAAGUCCUUUUACACUCUCCUGUCAGAGAGACUGCUGUGCACGUACUGUGAAAGGGUAAGAAAUGCCGGGGAAAAAGCAGGUGACGUGAGCAGAGAUCAGGACCCCCAGCAGCAGUACACCUGGCUCGCAUCAAGCCCAUGGAUUCUAAUGAAUUUGGCUCCAGCAGUACAGCACAUGUUUCCAGCCAUACUGUGUGGAAAGCGCUCCACAUAUUGUCAUACUUGCAGCCAGCCGGGAACUACACUCCUCCAGUCAAACAGAGCCCUCUUCCAUCUGCACGAGUGCUGCGUCGAGCACACAUGAUCUCUGAAAUGGAGAAGAUGCCCGUGUAUCGUUCCAUGAUACUGAGCGUGACGGGAGAAAUCCUGUGCAUCGACGCCACAAAGCAGAUACUGAGAAAGAUCUACGGUGACGGCCAAGCAACAAUGCAGUUCCUCACGAGUGUCUUGAACGAAUGGGGUCAAUUUGUGACCACCGUUGUGAUGACGUCAGACUCUGAAGACUGCUACAAGAGAAUGGCCCGUGGACUGACUGCCAGGUUAUAGCGCGCCCAGGCACCUGCUCCAAAAAUCCUCUACGCAGACAGCCACUG